rnacentral:rRNA from 1 species
GAGUGGCGGACGGGUGAGUAAUGUCUGGGAAACUGCCUGAUGGAGGGGGAUAACUACUGGAAACGGUAGCUAAUACCGCAUAACGUCGCAAGACCAAAGAGGGGGACCUUCGGGCCUCUUGCCAUCGGAUGUGCCCAGAUGGGAUUAGCUAGUAGGUGGGGUAACGGCUCACCUAGGCGACGAUCCCUAGCUGGUCUGAGAGGAUGACCAGCCACACUGGAACUGAGACACGGUCCAGACUCCUACGGGAGGCAGCAGUGGGGAAUAUUGCACAAUGGGCGCAAGCCUGAUGCAGCCAUGCCGCGUGUAUGAAGAAGGCCUUCGGGUUGUAAAGUACUUUCAGCGGGGAGGAAGGUGUUGAGGUUAAUAACCUCAGCGAUUGACGUUACCCGCAGAAGAAGCACCGGCUAACUCCGUGCCAGCAGCCGCGGUAAUACGGAGGGUGCAAGCGUUAAUCGGAAUUACUGGGCGUAAAGCGCACGCAGGCGGUCUGUCAAGUCGGAUGUGAAAUCCCCGGGCUCAACCUGGGAACUGCAUUCGAAACUGGCAGGCUAGAGUCUUGUAGAGGGGGGUAGAAUUCCAGGUGUAGCGGUGAAAUGCGUAGAGAUCUGGAGGAAUACCGGUGGCGAAGGCGGCCCCCUGGACAAAGACUGACGCUCAGGUGCGAAAGCGUGGGGGAGCAAACAGGAUUAGAUACCCUGGUAGUCCACGCCCGUAACGAUGUCGACUUGGAGGUUGUGGCCCUUUG